rnacentral:rRNA from 1 species
CUACACAUGCAGUCGAACGGUAACAGGAAGAAGCUUGCUKCUUUGCUGACGAGUGGCGGACGGGUGAGUAAUGUCUGGGAAACUGCCUGAUGGAGGGGGAUAACUACUGGAAACGGUAGCUAAUACCGCAUAACGUCGCAAGACCAAAGAGGGGGACCUUCGGGCCUCUUGCCAUCGGAUGUGCCCAGAUGGGAUUAGCUAGUAGGUGGGGUAACGGCUCACCUAGGCGACGAUCCCUAGCUGGUCUGAGAGGAUGACCAGCCACACUGGAACUGAGACACGGUCCAGACUCCUACGGGAGGCAGCAGUGGGGAAUAUUGCACAAUGGGCGCAAGCCUGAUGCAGCCAUGCCGCGUGUAUGAAGAAGGCCUUCGGGUUGUAAAGUACUUUCAGCGGGGAGGAAGGGAGUAAAGUUAAUACCUUUGCUCAUUGACGUUACCCGCAGAAGAAGCACCGGCUAACUCCGUGCCAGCAGCCGCGGUAAUACGGAGGGUGCAAGCGUUAAUCGGAAUUACUGGGCGUAAAGCGCACGCAGGCGGUUUGUUAAGUCAGAUGUGAAAUCCCCGGGCUCAACCUGGGAACUGCAUCUGAUACUGGCAAGCUUGAGUCUCGUAGAGGGGGGUAGAAUUCCAGGUGUAGCGGUGAAAUGCGUAGAGAUCUGGAGGAAUACCGGUGGCGAAGGCGGCCCCCUGGACGAAGACUGACGCUCAGGUGCGAAA